ACAUUUUGUGCCUCCUUAUUUUGCUGUGGAUUCUUUAUUGUAGGCAGCAGAGGGCACCCAAAUUACACAGCACAUAGAGCAGAGCUGCAGCUCCCAAGAUAAUGAGCACCAGCAUACCAAGAUUUUCAAAGUAAGGAUGCAAACACGACUCCAGUUUUGAUUGAAGAAAAGACUUUGGUCUCCAAGGCUGGUUCAGGAGCACAGUUUAAAGAAACAAAGCCCAUAUUAAAUAAAAAGUGCUUCUGCAGCCUAUAACAGAAGCUGCAGCAUCUUCUUGUGAAAUAGAAAUGGCAAUGUCAAAAGUU